rnacentral:rRNA from 1 species
GUGCCAGCCGCCGCGGUAAUACGGAGGAUGCAAGCGUUGUUCGGAAUCACUGGGCUUAAAGAGCGUGUAGGUGGGGUGUCAGGCGUCGGGUGAAAUCCCUCGGCUCAACCGAGGAACUGCCUGGCGAACCGACAUUCUUGAGGCAGGUAGAGGUGGCUGGAACGACGGGUGGAGCGGUGAAAUGCGUAGAUAUCCGUUGGAACGCCGGCGGCGAAAGCGAGCCACUGGGCCUGUCCUGACACUGAGACGCGAAAGCGUGGGGAGCAAACAGGAUUAGAUACCCCCGUAGUCC